ensembl:lncRNA
AUGGGGAGCAGGGACAGCAGAGCACAGUGCCUUGGACGGCUGACGUGGCCCUGCCGAGCCCCGGGCGCUGUGAGGGGAUCCUGUGACGGUGACCCGGCCGGAGCUGGUGAGCUGUGGACAGGCUGUUUCCCAGCAAUCCACUUACCUCUCUGUGAACACAAAUGCUUAACCAAAAACCUAGUCUGGGUGGAAUUUGGAGAGAACCUGAAACGAGUCUGGAAGAUUGCAGAUGCUGUUUCCAAAUCACAGAAUAUUCUGUACUGGAAAGGACCCACAAGGACAGUCAAGCCCAACUCCUAA